rnacentral:rRNA from 1 species
GAGCGUGCGUCCUAUUAGUUAGUUGGGGGGGUAAUGGCUCCCAGGCUACGAUGGGUAGGGGUUCUUAGUGGAAGGUCCCCCACACUGGCACUGAGAUACGGGCCAGACUCCUACGGGAGGCAGCAGUAGGGAAUAUUGGUCAAUGGGCGCAAGCCUGAACCAGCCAUGCCGCGUGCAGGAUGAAGGCUCUCUGAGUUGUAAACUGCUUUUAUACAGGAGCAAAAAAAUCCCUGCGGGGGUUCUUGAGAGUACUGUAAGAAUAAGCACCGGCUAAUUCCGUGCCAGCAGCCGCGGUAAUACGGGAGGUGCAAGCGUUAUCCGGUUUUAUUGGGUUUAAAGGGUGCGUAGGCGGCUUAUUAAGUCAGUUGUGAAAUCCUAGUGCUUAACGCUAGAACUGCGAUUGAUACUAUUAGGCUUGAGUUAAAA